AGCGAACGCUGGCGGCAGGCCUAACACAUGCAAGUCGAACGAUCCUUCGGGAUAGUGGCGGACGGGUGAGUAACACGUGGGAACGUGCCCUUUGGUUCGGAAUAACUCAGGGAAACUUGAGCUAAUACCGGAUGUGCCCUUCGGGGGAAAGAUUUAUCGCCAUUGGAGCGGCCCGCGUUGGAUUAGCUAGUUGGUGGGGUAAAGGCCCACCAAGGCUACGAUCCAUAGCUGGUCUGAGAGGAUGAUCAGCCACACUGGGACUGAGACACGGCCCAGACUCCUACGGGAGGCAGCAGUGGGGAAUCUUGCGCAAUGGGCGAAAGCCUGACGCAGCCAUGCCGCGUGAAUGAUGGAGGUCUUAGGAUUGUAAAAUUCUUUCACCGGGGACGAUAAUGACGGUACCCGGAGAAGAAGCCCCGGCUAACUUCGUGCCAGCCGCCGCCGUAACAC
rnacentral:rRNA from 1 species